rnacentral:rRNA from 1 species
ACGGGUGAGUAACGCGUGGGAAUCUACCUUUUGCUACGGAACAACAGUUGGAAACGACUGCUAAUACCGUAUGUGUCCUUCGGGAGAAAGAUUUAUCGGCAAAGGAUGAGCCCGCGUUGGAUUAGCUAGUUGGUGAGGUAAAGGCUCACCAAGGCGACGAUCCAUAGCUGGUCUGAGAGGAUGAUCAGCCACACUGGGACUGAGACACGGCCCAGACUCCUACGGGAGGCAGCAGUGGGGAAUAUUGGACAAUGGGCGCAAGCCUGAUCCAGCCAUGCCGCGUGAGUGAUGAAGGUCUUAGGAUUGUAAAGCUCUUUCACCGGUGAAGAUAAUGACGGUAACCGGAGAAGAAGCCCCGGCUAACUUCGUGCCAGCAGCCGCGGUAAUACGAAGGGGGCUAGCGUUGUUCGGAUUUACUGGGCGUAAAGCGCACGUAGGCGGAUUUUUAAGUCAGGGGUGAAAUCCCGGGGCUCAACCCCGGAACUGCCUUUGAUACUGGAAGUCUUGAGUAUGGUAGAGGUGAGUGGAAUUCCGAGUGUAGAGGUGAAAUUCGUAGA